rnacentral:rRNA from 1 species
GACGAACGCUGGCGGCGUGCUUAACACAUGCAAGUCGAGAGGAGCGGCGAACGGGUGAGUAACGCGUGAGUAACUGCCCCCCUCUCUGGGAUAACAGUUGGAAACGGCUGCUAAUACCGGAUAGUGGGGGAUGACUCGGGGCCUAUCAGCUUGUUGGUGGGGUAGUGGCCUACAAAGGCGACGACGGGUAGCCGGCCUGAGAGGGCGACCGGCCACAUUGGGCUGAGGUACGGCCCAAACUCCUACGGGAUGCAGCAGUGGGGAAUAUUGCACAAUGGUGAAAACCCGUGUGCAGCAACGCCGCGGUGGGGAUGACUGCCUUCGGGGUGUAAACCGCGUUCAGCAAUAACGCGGUAGUGGCAGAAGAAGCACCGGCUAACUACGUGCCAGCAGCCGCGGUAAUAC